CUACACAUGCAGUCGAGCGAGACCUUCGGGUCUAGCGGCGGACGGGUUAGUAACGCGUGGGAACGUGCCCUUCUCUGCGGAAUAGCCACUGGAAACGGUGAGUAAUACCGCAUACGCCCUUCGGGGGAAAGAUUUAUCGGAGAAGGAUCGGCCCGCGUUAGAUUAGAUAGUUGGUGGGGUAAUGGCCUACCAAGUCUACGAUCUAUAGCUGGUUUUAGAGGAUGAUCAGCAACACUGGGACUGAGACACGGCCCAGACUCCUACGGGAGGCAGCAGUGGGGAAUCUUAGACAAUGGGCGCAAGCCUGAUCUAGCCAUGCCGCGUGUGUGAUGAAGGUCUUAGGAUCGUAAAGCACUUUCGCCAGGGAUGAUAAUGACAGUACCUGGUAAAGAAACCCCGGCUAACUCCGUGCCAGCAGCCGCGGUAAUACGGAGGGGGUUAGCGUUGUUCGGAAUUACUGGGCGUAAAGCGUACGUAGGCGGAUCAGAAAGUUGGGGGUGAAAUCCCGGGGCUCAACCCCGGAACUGCCUCCAAAACUCCUGGUCUUGAGUUCGAGAGAGGUGAGUGGAAUUCCAAGUGUAGAGGUGAAAUUCGUAGAUAUUUGGAGGAACACCAGUGGCGAAGGCGGCUCACUGGCUCGAUACUGACGCUGAGGUACGAAAGUGUGGGGAGCAAACAGGAUUAGAUACCCUGGUAGUCCACACCGUAAACGAUGAAUGCCAGUCGUCGGGCAGUAUACUGUUCGGUGACACACCUAACGGAUUAAGCAUUCCGCCUGGGGAGUACGGUCGCAAGAUUAAAACUCAAAGGAUUUGACGGGGGCCCGCACAAGCGGUGGA
rnacentral:rRNA from 1 species